GGCCGCCGCCGCAGCGGUCCGGGGAGAAGGCGGCCCUCGUGAGCUUCCCGGUUUCCGCGGCUCCGGAGAGAGCCCCCCAGGUAACGUCUCCUCAAUAUCUACCUGAAGAUUUCUUUCCGCCAACCUGGAAAUAUUUUCCAUAUGAGACAAGAAUCUUGAACUAAAGUUGCUUAAGUGGCCAUCCCAGGUCAACUAAAUGUGGAUGAAUAUAUGUGAUACCACAGGAAAAAAAGGCAAACUCAAGUUCAACAGUAAAUGAGAGGAGAAUAAAGAGGUGAUGGAGCAAUGGGAGGCAGAACAGGAGGAUAUAAUUGAUUGUGUCAACAACAAAAGCAAAUUUGAAGAGGAAGAUAAGAGCACAGUAAAGUGGUUAAAGAUGUUUCAGGACAAUGCAGGAGGUAAAAACUGUUUUAUGGAGGGUCAAACUUAGUGGGAAGAAAGGAUGUUUUUGAUAACAAAGAAAACAGUUUUCUCAAGUUUCUAAGAAAUAAGAGAGAAAAGUAAAUAUCGAUUUUGGAAGCAAUUUGUGGUACAAGGGUGAUUGAAUAUGUUUUAAAAUAAAAAGCAGUGAUACAGUGAUCAUUUUUGCAUAAAAUAAUAUGGUUGUACAUAAGUAAAGUUCUCUAUAAAUGAUUUAAUUUAAAAUAAAUGAAAUGAGACUUAUAGUCUUGACCAAAAAUAAAUUGAUAUUGAAUGGUAAAGGAGAUUAAUCCUAGAUCUUUGCAAACCGUAAAUAGAAAGUAAAUGAAAGAAUCUUUUAGAAUGAAGAAAUGCUGAGGCCAAAAAGA